rnacentral:lncRNA from 1 species
GAGCACAUUCUAUGACACUGGGGAGGAAGUGGGGAGGAGACAGGCACCGAGCUGGUGUGGUCCCUUGCUGGCCAGCGGAGGGGCUGGCUGAAUGAGUGUGGGCUUAGGAGACCCAGUUCAUGGACUUCCGCAUUUUCAGUCUGUCUCCCCUGAGCCACCCCCACUCAUUUGUAUGUUGAUUUUGGUUGCUUGGCGAUAGAAACGACAACAGCAGAGUUGAGCACUUGCAACAGAAACCACAUGGUCCUCAAAACCUAAAAUCUUUGCUGUGGGCCCUCUCCAGAAAAGCUUACCAACCCUCAGUCUGUAUGAACACUGGCAGAACACUGGUAGAAGAACCUCUGGUAACUAGCUGGGCACAUGGCCACCCAAAAUAAAGACCGCAUUUCCCAGCAUCCUUUGCAGCUAGGUGUACCAG